UACGGAGGGCGCAAGCGUUGUUCGGAAUCACUGGGCGUAAAGCGCGCAUAGGCGGCUCUGCAAGUCGGGUGUGAAAUCCCGAGGCUCAACCUCGGAACUGCACUCGAUACUGCUUGGCUCGAGUCCCGGAGAGGGUGGCGGAAUUCCCGGUGUAGGGGUGAAAUCCGUAGAUAUCGGGAGGAACACCAGUGGCGAAGGCGGCCACCUGGACGGUGACUGACGCUGAGACGCGAAAGCGUGGGGAGCAAACAGG
rnacentral:rRNA from 1 species